GUUUGGACAGAGAAUUGAAGCACUGGAGGCGAGCAACCAGACAGAGUCGCAGGAGAGCCAGGCAGAUGGUGGCCUGUCACAGGAACGCCUGGUCACCCAGGUUUGGAGAUGCGGACUGGCUUCCUUGUUCCUCAGCUUGCAGAUGGCCUACUGUGCGAUUUCACCUGGUGAUCAUCCUGCUGCCUGGAAUGCAUAUGUGAUGGCUGGAAUGCUAGCUCUAAUUUUGGAUCAUGAGGAAAAGUGCCACACCAUUGGAGAUGAGGGAUGAGCUGGAAGGGGUCCUGUGGCAGGGGAUCAUGUCCUGGGACAUACCAAGAGAGCAGCUUCUAGAGGACUGAUUAUCAGAGAGGAACUGGAAUGUGAAAAGACGUCUAACUAACCAUUAUUAAUGAUUCACUUGUAAUUUUCACUAAUGGAUGACCCACAUGAUUUCCUCUUCAAAGAAUUUGUCCAAAGCCACCCAUUUAAAAAAGAAAAGAAUGGAGGAUGGAAUCUCAUAAGUGAUCUUACCAUUUACAAAGCACAGUGUGAUUAAUCAAUUCUCCUUUAUAUUUUAGUGCCUACCGUGUUUCUUAAUUUGAUGGAGAAGCCUUCUUAUAAACACUCUUAGAAAAGCUAUAUGUAAUUAACUUUCUUCUUUGAGCAAAGGGACUUGUUUCUCUGAGAUGUCUAUAAAAGAUAAAGAGUUGAUGUGGGCCACACUCCUGCCUCUGCUUUCUCUUAGAGGUCUAAGGGUAAUUAGUGGACAAAAGCAGUCAAUUAAGCAGGUAUCUUCCCAGACACCAUGUCCACUCUUGAUGACUGUUGAAAACCUUAGAUAACCCCAUCAGGAACUGAGGUAAGGCCAUGAAUUGCCUUUAGUUUGAGCAUGGGUGAAUUUAAUCUCCUUAACCUAGUUAGGGAUUGGAAUCUGGCUCACCUUCAGGUUUUAUGAAUAAAGUUUUAUUGGAACACAGUCACUCCUAUUCGUUUUACAUCUAACUGUGGCUGCUUUUGUGCUACCAUAGCAGAGUUAAGUCACUCUAACAGAAAAUAGAUGGCUCACAAAGCCAAACAUAUUUUACUCCAUAGCCCUUUAAAAUCUGCUAACCUUUGAUAUGGUGACAGCAUGAAAUUUCUUUAAGCACUUGCCCAGUAUUAUAGAUUUUUUAUGAGCGAAUGUGAAUAUUAAUGUAAUGUAACUCAGGAAAGAAAUAUGUCUUGAACCCACAUUUAUAUAAAAUCAAUUUUGAUAGCAAGCUUAUUACUUCACAAAGAAAAAAAGUCUAUCCAUGUUUUUUCUGCUCAAAAAAAAUGUUGGCAGAGAAUGCUAUUAGAGUCAUAUAGGUAAAACAAACUUACAGGUAAAACAAGCUAAAUUUAACUUUUGCUCUAUGAAGUUUGCCAUGUUUCAAGGAAUAUAGUUAGACCCAGAAUGCCUUGAUAUUUUCAUAGUAAUGGGCCAUGCUCUAAUUUGGUGCUAUUUCCCUAUACUUAAUUGAGGAGCUAACAGUCAAUUGUGAGACUAAACCUUCAAUUAAUAAAAGCAGCAUGGGUCGAUCCUCAAAAGGAAAGCCCAUUUUUCUUGUCAGUGUGAGUCAGCCUCCUCUGUUUUUUUAUCUUGAUACAAAGGUAGAAAUAACCCCAAGUAAGCCAGGAACACUAUUCAGAUCUCAAAACGUUUGCUUAUUGUGAGUGCUCUCUUUUACAAGAUCAAAAAAAUUUCAUGAAUCAUUCUAAGCUGUUUACUGGGUUGGGGUCCACUGUUGUAGAAGUGUCUGUCUUGGAUGAGGUCUCAUGAUGAGAAACUAUUUAACCCUAAGAUGUUUCUUACUAAGUGACUCUUAGCUACUUAUAUAAUCAGAGACAGCCAUAAGAAUACAGAAGGAAUGCACGAAUAUACCCACCACUGGGAAGUUGUCAUCAGCUUUGCUCCAAAGGUCUUUUUCAUCAUUUUUCUAACUCUUCUGGAAAGUCGGGAGAUUCUCCCUCACUGCUGCAGACCAGAAAAACAUUGUACAUAUUAAGGCUCUCAGAUGAGAAAGGGUCUAAAGAAACUAUUAUGACAUAAUGAAUGUGCUGUUCUCUGUGCUCUGAAAGUGUAUGGGGAGGCUAAACAAUUAUCUUUGAGGUUUGUUAGUACCUAUGAAUUAUUCAUCAAUCUUAGAGUUUCUAAAAUUAUUCUCACAGAAUUAUCAUCUAGUGGGCAAAGAGGUCAUCUUGUCUGAUCACACCCAAACAGAAUUAUCCUUAAUACUCAUCACUUAAACAAAAACAAUUGGAAUAAAAAGACAGAACACUACACUGUUUAUGUAUUGUGUCCAAUAUUUACACACCAUAGAGAGAUAUAGAUUUUACAGAAUCUAAAUAUACAAAAUACCUAAUGGUUUAAUUUGAUUAAAUAACAGUAGUGAAUAUGCACACGAAGUGAGUUCCAUGUGUUACCAAAUUGCAAUUGACUAUGCUUUACAUGUUUUAAAAAUCAUCACUUUUGAUGAAACUUGCUCUUAGAUUCAGACUAGAUGUCUGUAUAGUCAUCAUUUUUAACACUGGCAGCAUAGUAAAGUCAACUGGGGAACUCUUAAAAGAAAUGUAUGUCUAGGGCCACACCACCGAAGACACCGAUUUCCUGGCAAUUGGUUUGGGAGAAGGCCCAGACAUCUGUAUUUUUAAAGUUCUGCGGGGUAGUCUAAUGUCAGCCAAGGUUGAAAAUCACUGCUUCACGUAGUAUAGCUAGAUAAGUGAGAUAGAGAGGUCUCCAUGUGCAGCUUCUAUUUUGAAAGUCAGUCAUGAUUCCUCAUUUUAGCAAGUUCUCUUUUUCUUUACCUCCUCUUUCCAUUCAGAAUUGAGUUCAAAUAUUUCUUUACAGCCAUUUGUUUUCUAAGGCGGGUAUAGUUGUCAGUGAAGACUGCAUCUGAGUGACGUUUGACUGGUACAGGGUCUUCUGAGAUGUUACUGCUAAGGAACAUGAGGAAAAGGAAAUCAAAGAGUUUUCACAAGAAAUGAUAAAUACACACAUGUUCCAGGUUUCUUGGAGCCACAUAAAAAGCAAUUCCCACCCAACUAAUUUUCUAUCAUAAAAAGACUAAAAGAAAAAUACAACUAAACCUAAGGAUGAAGGAAAGCAAGGAAUCAUCUGCCAUAUUUUGGCAUGGCCUGGGACUGUUUUAUGACACAUUCUGUACAGCUGAGCAAAUAAUUCAUCCAAAAAUAAAAAUUUGGGAAUAGCUGAAGUUGUGCUCUGCCAUUGGGAGAAAUUUUUUUUUUUUUUAAAAAAAACAUAAUUACUUCUUUAGAAGCUAUGCUACCCUGA
rnacentral:lncRNA from 10 species